AUUCGACAUCAAGGUCUAGAAGCUUAAAAUUUUUGAUUUCAGAUAUCUUGUGGUAAGUGUUUGAAUAUUUAAUAGUUUAGUUUACUUUUAGUUUAGUUUAAACAUAUUUAUUGAUAGUGGAUUGGGAAACAAGUUUUGCAACUUAAAUUUUUCCUUUUCCACUUUGCGGGUGCGAGUGCUGCCUUGUACCGGCAUUAGCCUGCUCUUUUUUCGAAGUUUUCAAGGGUGUUUUUGACGUGCAAGAGAUAUGCCUUCUCUCAACACGGGUUAGCCACUUAUCGCCCCCUUCCGACGGACUAACAUCGUUUCUUCAAGACCAUACUCGCAAAUGGUGUCAGGAGAGAGCCGAAAAAUUUUAUGAUUACUGAAGAAACAUUCAAAUAUUUGACAUAUAAUUUGAAAAAUUUUUGUGCUAAGGUGAAAGAUUGAAAGUAUUAAUUACAAAUUAUAUUUAUGUUGGUUUCAUAUAACAUGAAUUAAUACGUUUCGAAAUAUUAUCAACAGGUGAUAGCGGAUAUGUUCAAAAUGUUGUAACUACAAUCUCGUCCCCUUUUCCCCAAAUAUGACCGACCGAAUACGACGAUGACUGAGUUUGUUCUAUUACUACGAGUAACGCGACGAGUAUCAUAUACGGAGCAGGAUCUCCCUACCCUUCAGGAGUACAUGAGAGCAUCCAGGUUUUUGAUUCAAUCAUAUUGUUCAAUCUUUAGAUUUCCAUGGUGUGUUUUGCGUACAAUUGUUUGUCUGUUGUACUUUUUUUCAUUUAAGCCAUUGUUAUAUUAGUUUAUUUUUGACUUAAGAGUUUGAAUUUCCCUUUGGUAUCUUUCGUCCAUCUUUUAUCAACUGCCAUCAAAUACCUCGCGCUUGAGUAUUGUGGCAGAUUAUGCUAGUAAUGAAAAAGAAAACGGAUUCGUUUUAAUUUAUUUUUUAAGAAGUGUUUACAUGGGAGUAAAAAGACCCAUCAUCAAGAUAAAAUUCAUUAGGUUUUAUAAAUAAUAUUACUAAAGGGAAAAUUUGUUUAACAGGUGCAACAGUUAGCAACAAUCAGACAACGAAAAAUGGAUUUUUUAUUGAGUUUGGAAUGACAAAAAACAAAACCAAUUAUCUUGCAUCUUGUUCAGUUAUGUAUAUGUGAUCAGAUAAUGAAUAAAAAUAAAAAAACAAAACGAAAUUAAGAAAUGUGUUCAUGUUGAUCCUAAAGGAAAUCAAUUUGUCAAUAACCAGACCGAUCCCUCCAUGUACAUUUAAUGUACACAGUUAUGAUAUAAUCAAUGAAAACGGGAACUGAAAAAGCAAAUAUAUAUCUACAAUAGAAUUCAAAUAUUUUUACAGAAUGACGAUUCAUUUCAAAGUUAACAUUUGUAUGUUUAUUACUUUGGUGAACUAAAAUGAAUUAUUCAAAACGGAAUAUGUUAUUGUUCCAGGUCAGGAAUAUGGCAGUUGUUAUCAAAUAGUUCGUUUCUAUGUUUGUUGGUGUUUGUUUUCGUUGCACUUCAGUGUUUCUGUUUUGCCGUUGUUUUCCUCUUAUAGUUGAUGUGCUUCUGUCUAUUUAAGUUUUCUCUUAAUCGAUUUAUGCCAUUUUGAUCAGUGAUAUUCUACUGAUGCUUUUAUUGAAUAUAAAAAAUGAUAUAAUCAAUCCAUUGGAAGGAACUAAGACCUUGUUGAUACUUAUAACAAUGUCAGUUGUUAUCCCAUGGUCUGCUUCUAUGUAUGUUUUGGUUUAUUUUUAUUGCAGUUCCGUGUUUUGUUGUUCCGUUGAUUUCCCCUGAUAGUUAAUGUGUUUCCUGUGGGUUUGGUUUGUAUCCCAGAUUUGUUUUUUCUUAAUAAAUUUAUGACUAUUGAAAAACGCUAUACUACUGUUUCCUUUAUAUCCUGUCCCACUCCGUUACGUUAAAUGGUCGUUCAUGGCACAGAAUAAAUAUACGAACAAGAUUUUAUUCGAAGUUAUAUCAAUGUCAAAACAGAAUAAUAAUCGCUUUUAAAUUAAAAUUGAGAAAUGGUUAAUUUUGGCGGUAAUCAGUGGUUUCAGAUUGAUAAUAUGUUUUUAGAAGACGAUCAAUAGUAUACCUUUUGGAUAAUAUAAGUUGAUAUUAUAUUACUCACUGACCUAUUCAAAUAUCUAAAAUAAUAAAUUGUUAUGAUCAAAGAGUACUGAGUAUAAUUUUGAAAAGCCAUUUGAUGAGUUUCCCUUAGUUGUGUUUCUUCGGUUAAAAAGUGUACCGAAAAAGUAAGGUUCAUAACAGUUAAGAAACAAAUAGGACAUAAGAGAAAACAGUUAUAACUUCCCUUCGCAUAACCUACACUUGACGGAACAUUGUGCCUAAAAAAGGAGCAAAGGUAUCACCAAGCAAUACAAUGACGGCUUAACUAUUUAUAUUUAUUCCUUAUCCUAUCAGUGAAGUUCUUUCCGUUCUUAUUUAUAAACAAAGAAGCAACUAAGGAGCCCCGAUUUUUACAAUCUCAUUUGUCGGGGAAAACAAAUGAUCAAAUAUCACACCAUAUAUAAUCAUUUGAAUAAAGUAUCCUCUUUUAUUUUAUGUAUUGAAACUGUGAAGCUAAUUCUUUUUUUCAUUUGUAGUACACCAUGAAGUUCCUACUAGUUAUAGCUUUGAUCAUUGUGAUAUUUCAAAGUUGUGUCAUGGGUUUCCAAAGUGCUAACUACUUCUACCGCCAAAGUAAGUCACAUCUUUAAAUUUGUUCCAUUGAAAUACUGGUAAGCAACUUAUAUUUAUGUUUUCUUUUACAUUAAGCUUUCAUGGUUUUGGUCAUGGAUAGGCUGUGCCGUAUCUUGUUUAUAAAAAAAAACAAUGUAUUUGCAAAACAAUCCAAGGUGAACUAAAUAAACGGUAACACCAUCAAACCAGACCAAGUCAAACGCUCGACUAUAUCAACCAACGGAAUGUAUUGAAAACAACUGUCAUAUUCCUUGUCAUAUUCCUGACUUGGUGUUAACAACUUAAAUGUAUAUCAUUCCUUAAAACCAAUUGUCUCUUCAUCUACUUCGUAUGAUAAUGACAAAAUAUCCAUUUCGGUUGGGAUAAUAUACAAAUGACCAUUGACGGAUUAGUUAUAAUCAUUCAGAGAUAUCAAGCUUAACGUUUGUACACAAUACGUUCGUGUCGACUUCAAAUGACUCACCAGUGAUGCUCGAAUUAAAACAGUUGGAAUGUCAAAUCAAAUACGAUGUUAAAGAUCAAUGAAAAUUAAACAACAAAAAUACCGAACUUCAACAAUACUUCACGAUGAUACCUUAACCUAUAAUUGUUUACUUUUAUAAAUUGUGAUUUAGAUGGAGAGUUGUCUCAUUGGCGCUCAUACCACAUCUUCCUAUAUAUAUUCCCUUAUUUAAUGGCAAUUUCAAAAGGUCAAAUACAUCAAAAGAAUGGAAAAAACUGUCAUAUUCUUGGCUUGGUUUGCAUUUCCUUGUGUAGAAAAUGGUUAAUUUAAUCUGGUUUUAUAGCUAGCUAAACCUCUCUCCUGUAUGACUUGUGAAACAGAUAAUUCCGACUUUUUAUUGAAAAUAUGAUGGGCUACGACAAUAUAAUAGUAACUUACAUAAGGAUCACUUGUUAAAUAAAAAAGAAGAUAUCGGUGUAUUUAAUGUUUCAGGAAAUAUGAUAGGCGGUUUGACAAGCUUUGGCAUUGCUAAUCGGGGUGGUGGACACAACAGCAUGAUGAGACAUUACUACCGGGGAUGAUUACUAGGUAACAGAAGAAACGUAUGCUUCGUUUAUCCGGAAUAAAUAAAUAAGUGAAUGAAACAUUUUUGUCUAAUGAUUGUUUUCAUUAACAUUAAAAAAAAACUUGUAUGAAGUAUCAUUCAAGUAUUAAUGAUUAUAAACAGGAAGACUGUAAAAUAAAUAUUGUCAAAAGGGGGACCUUUAAUGUAGUUAUUCUUGCAGGCAAAUAUGUAUUGGUGUUCAUAUGCUUGUAAUAAUGCCUGUAAAUUAUCUUGAAAUUUUAUGUUGGAGAGUAUAUAAGAUUUCUAUGUUUAGAAAGAUAUGACAGAGA
rnacentral:lncRNA from 1 species